rnacentral:rRNA from 1 species
UACGUAGGGCGCAAGCGUUGUCCGGAAUUAUUGGGCGUAAAGAGCUCGUAGGCGGUUUGUCACGUCGGAUGUGAAAGCCCGGGGCUUAACCCCGGGUCUGCAUUCGAUACGGGCAGACUAGGGUGUGGUAGGGGAGAUCGGAAUUCCUGGUGUAGCGGUGAAAUGCGCAGAUAUCAGGAGGAACACCGGUGGCGAAGGCGGAUCUCUGGGCCAUUACUGACGCUGAGGAGCGAAAGCGUGGGGAGCGAACAGG